ensembl:lncRNA
AGAGGUCAGAGCUGGCAGCCUAGAGGAGAUAGCUGGAGCCACCAGAAUCAAUGAGAUCCCAAAGGGCAGAGGACGGGGAACCGAGGGUAACAUGAUGAACCCUGGGUAACAGCCACCCUUAAAAAGGCUCGGAGGAGGAAGAGGAGCCAACGACAGAGAAGGAGCGAAGAGGCAGGAAGCUUGAGCUUGAGAAGAACAGCCCUCUACAGGGUCAGAACGUGUGUCCCUGAAGUCAAGAGGGCAAGGGCUGAGAAAAGGUCCCUGAAUGGACAAGUAGGAGGGCGUCACACUGAGAAUGCAUAUUUAGAAGUGGAGGCGACUCUGACAUUCUGGAGACAUCUGACCAGGCUGGGAGAAAGAACUGAGACGCGAAGCAGAGGGCACCCCAGAGGAGAUGCAAGAGAGACGUUGACCUAUCUGUUAACAUAGACCUCGGCCAUCUGUGACAAGGACAAGGCAGAGAAACCCGUCCUAAGAGUGUCUGUGUUGACUCUGCGAAGACUCCAACCUGGGAGUCAGGCAAAUGCUCCUUCUGUCUGCUGUGCCCAGGGCCUGGCUUGCUGCUCUGCUCUGCCCUCUCCGAAAGGACCUCCUGUGUGAUCUGGACCCUAGAAUACGGUGCCUAGGAUGAGAGAUGUGUGAAGGAGGAGAGCAAGGAAAGAGAAAAGAAAAGGAACAAUGAGAGAGACUAGAGAAUCAGGUCCCUUGUGAACUCAGGAACAAGGAUAACAGAAAAAAUGGUCAUUUAUACAUUUUAAUCAGGAGUUCAAAUCUUUCGGCUGAAAGUAAUAGAAACACAACUGUAAUUAGCUUGAGCCUCAAAGGGGACAAUGUUGGCUCACAGAAGCUGACCAUGGGGACAGCAGAGAGGGAACAACUGGGUUCAGGGAGUGGAUACCCUGGGGACUCAUCCUCUCCUCUUGGCUGUUAGUUCCCCCACAGCUCUCAGGGCUGUGCCAGAGGAGGGAGCUCUGCCCGCCAGCUCCAGGUAGAAGGUUCUGGCAAACAGCGACACCAUUUUUCCGUUGUCUGGUUUCAGAAAUGUUAAACCUUGAUACUCUCAACCAUUGGUGAAGGAAUGGGAAAACAGAGACCCUAAUGCUCUAAUAUACUGCUGGAGGGGGUACAAAUGGUCCCAACCACUUUGGGGAGAAAUUUGACUACCUAUUAUGAUUUUAAAUGUGGGUACUAUUGAUUUGAUGAUGCCACUUCUCAAAAUCCAGACCAGUAACUCUCACACAUGUGCAUAAGGAAAUAUAGGCAAGGAUGUUAUUUGAGGUGUUAUUUGUAGCACAAAAUUAGAAAUAACUAAUGUCCAUUUUUAUGGUAUAUUUCACACUCUGAAAAUAUGGAAACUGUUAAAAAGAAUGAAAUGUCUACUGACAUAAACCCCGAAGCUGUCUUGAUAAAUGAAAAAAAUAAUUUGCAGAAUGAUACAUACAAUAUGGUAUCACUCAAGCGUAAAUGAAAACAAAAACAAAAGCUUGAAAUAAUAAUAGAUAUGUCUACAUGUAUGUUUAUAACGUAUAUUUCUAAAUGUCUCCAAAUGCGUAGAAGACGGUCUGGUGAGGGACUGAGAUUAGGAGUGAGGAUUGAAGGAGACUGUCAGGUGUGAAUUUUUUC